UUCACUGUGGUGUUUUUAGCUUCCAGAAUACCGACGUUUUGUACUUUGUGCGCUCUUCAUCUCCGAAGAGGUUUUUGUGCGUAUUGACUGUUGCUACACUGCAUCAUCAGGUGUCCCCCGAACCAGUUCGACGACUAUGGCCGGCAGAGCAACAUCUCAUCGACGGUUGAGUGGGCGUGGUUCCCUGUGGCCGAUUCACCCACUCUUGGUGUGUCUAGUUGCCUGUGUUCUCGCCUACCAGAUAGCACCAUCUAUGGGCGUGUGCACCAGUAACCACCAGCCCACUAUUACACACAUAUGGCGUAAGCAUCUUGACAGGUUGACCGACAUCGCCCGCGAUAUCCUGGAUAACGACACUGUGGUCAUUCCGAACUCUUACAGCGACGAAGAGCUGAGGCAGACUAUGGCCGAUAUGCGCCAGUUGGCCCCGGGUACGAUGGCAAACUUCGACAUGAUGUGCGAGGGUGAGCUCGCAUUUGCUACGGACGAAUGGACAUGGAUGUGCCGCAACCAGCAGACGUUAGGAAGACGCUAAAAAGGGACAUGUUAUGAACACCGACGAGUCGGCGUGACGUAAUGAUGACGUCGGCUGUACUUUCAAUCAGGUUUGCUUAUAAAAUGAAUACGUAUGGAUUUGGUUUUGCUGGCGUUUAUUGUAAGUUUGUUUCUGACACACUAAUCGUAAAUUCUAGCUAGGGUUGUAUUCAAGUUAUUCUCUAUUUCAUCAACACUGGUAGAACUACACGUUAAUGUCGAGUCGUCAGCAUACAUGAACAAAUUACACCCUUCUUAUAUAAAUAUUAAAGAACAGUGGACCUACAAUAAUCCCUGUGGUACGCCGGUGUUAAGUGGUAGGGCAUUAGAAAUUGUGCCCUCAGUAUUCACAGACUGACUACGUUUACUGACCGAAUUGUUUACAUACAUCACUUCAUCCGAAGCUAAUUCGCCGGGGAUAUUAUAGCCGUAUUAUAUUCAAUUCGCUUGCUUUCUAGAAUCAAGUGGCUGCGUCGUGUUCAAAUCAGUAGUCAGUAAUAGUGUUGUACACUGAAAACACAUUGAACAUAACUAUAUAGUAUAUACUUUUUAUGUUGUACGGUUGAUCCCUUAGAUAUUAUGUAGGCACAUUCGUUCUGAUUAUGACGGUUAAAAAGGGUUAGGCUAUACAUUUUUAAUAUCUUUGUGUGGUUCGAGACUAGCAAGAUGGAACGAGUCUUAUUAAGUUAAAUGAUGAUUGGCAUUGACAUGCUUGUAUAAAACUGCAUGUCGGUGGCAUCUGUCAUCUUUUGGCGUCAGUUUGGUUUUUGUUAUUAUUGCGGGUUAUCGUCAGGGCAUGUGAUCUGUUACAGUGAAAUGGUACUAUAUAUUUAUUCAUAAUAAUAUUGUGCAAUUGUAAAUGUGCGUGUACUGAACCACUCAUUGUAAUAGAUUGAGACAUAGAAACAGCAAACUCACGGUGGUUUAAUUAUAAACAUUGUAGAUAGAUAAAGAGUAUAGUACUAUUUUCAAAUGCAUUGUUAACUUGAUGUUUUGAGUAUAAAGAUAAAGUGCAAUUUCGUGUUUUUGGUGUUUUUUUAAAUUAUUCAUAAAGAGUAUUGAACUGAACAACCUAGGAGAUUACUUAUCAUUAAAGGCAUUUCAAAAUGGAAUUGGGAUGAAAUGGAGUAAGAAUAAGAAAAAGCUA